UGUAACUUAACUUUACUGCAUUGGUUUGGAGCUGCCCUGCCCUGGCACAUAGUUAGAGUUAGGUGGAACAAUUAUAAAAGGUCUCUGAUGCCUAUUUUCUGAGGAUCUACCGUUUGAUGUUGAGAAGCAGCAGUGAGAAGAUAUCUGAGGGCAUUUUGUUCAGCAGAGUGUUUCAAAUAAGGGUUGUGGUCACUGUGCGAGUUAGUCUGCUGCUGUAUGUCAGAGUGUGUCUGUCUGUGAGAGUUGGUGGUUCUGGGUCUGCUUGUGUGCAUGUGUGUCGAGUGGUUCUAACCUGGUAUGUAUGGCUUUUGCUUUUCAGGACUUGCAAUUCACUUUUAAAUUUAGAAUAAAAAAUCCCCAGCUGGGGGUUUUUUUUUUUUUUCCCUCCCAGCUGGGGUUUUUUUUCCUCGGUCCCGGCCGGUCUGCGAGGCGACAGUCAUCGCCAAAGUUUGGGCACGGACCGGCCCCGGACCGAGGUUUUCGUCAGGCAGGCUGAAUUCGAGGCCCCCCGGGAACCGAGUUCCCGUGGGGUAGGAGGGGGGUGUGCGUUUGUGUCGAGUGGUUCUAACCUGGUAUGUAUGGCUUUUGCUUUU